rnacentral:lncRNA from 1 species
GAGUCGGCUUGUUUUGAUCAAAUAUGAAAAGCUUCCCAAUUAUUGUUAUCUGUGUGGCAUUUGUGAUCAUGUCCUUAAUCAGUGUUCUCUUCGGGAGUCUGCUAUUAACCAGGGGGAUUUCAAACCCUUUGGUCCUUGGCUCAGAGCAUAGGUCAAAGAAUGGUUAGAUGAACCUGAGAUAGAACCACCUAGAUCACUCCG